rnacentral:lncRNA from 1 species
CCUCAUUUCCUAUGAAUCAAACGGGACCUAUAUGGAUUUAGAUGGCAUUAUAAGGUAAAAUUUCUAAUUUAGGCUAUUACAAUCCACCUAUGCCAAGAUGUGGACCAAGAAAAAAGGAAGAAAAAAUAAAUGGAUUUCAAAUGAUUCUUUGCAUAUAGUCAUUUCAAAUAUGUAUACAAUCUAAUGUGGUUAUUGUUUUUAUAAGCAAAGUUAAUCUUGUUGUCAAAUUCAAAUCAUUUAUUUCAAAUUCAUCCAUCCAAAUAAAAACCUUAGGCCCCGUUUGAUUCAUGGGAAUUCAAUUGUUUUCCCAUGUUUGG